GCCAGUAACGGAGAUGACAUUCCUCCAUAACCGCCCUUCCGGCUGAUGAUGUCUGCGAGUCC
rnacentral:ncRNA from 2 species